rnacentral:rRNA from 1 species
GACGAACGCUGGCGGCGUGCUUAACACAUGCAAGUCGAACGAUGAAGCAAAGAAUCGAAGCUUCGGCAGAAAUUCAUUUCGGAUUAGUGGCAGACGGGUGAGUAACGCGUGAGCAACCUACCUCUUACAAAGGGAUAGCCUCGGGAAACCGGGAUUAAUACCAUAUAACAUUGCGACGAAGCAUUUCGAUGCAAUCAAAGCUACGGCGGUAAGAGAUGGGCUCGCGUCCCAUUAACCGGAUGGUGAGGUAACGGCUCACCAUAGUGACGAUGGGUAACCGGACUGAGAGGGUGAACGGUCACACUGGAACUGAGACACGGUCCAGACUCCUACGGGAGGCAGCAGUGGGGAAUAUUGCACAAUGGAGGGAACUCUGAUGCAGCGACGCCGCGUGAGUGAUGAAGGAAUUCGUUUCGUAAAACUCUGUUCUAUGGGAAGAAAAGGACUGUACCAUAGGAGAAAGCGCCGGCUAAAUACGUG